rnacentral:rRNA from 1 species
GACGAACGCUGGCGGCGUGCUUAACACAUGCAAGUCGAACGGAAAGGCCCUGCUUUUGUGGGGUGCUCGAGUGGCGAACGGGUGAGUAACACGUGAGUAACCUGCCCUUGACUUUGGGAUAACUUCAGGAAACUGGGGCUAAUACCGGAUAGGAGCUCCUGCUGCAUGGUGGGGGUUGGAAAGUUUCGGCGGUUGGGGAUGGACUCGCGGCUUAUCAGCUUGUUGGUGGGGUAGUGGCUUACCAAGGCUUUGACGGGUAGCCGGCCUGAGAGGGUGACCGGCCACAUUGGGACUGAGAUACGGCCCAGACUCCUAUGGGAGGCAGCAGUGGGGAAUAUUGCACAAUGGGCGGAAGCCUGAUGCAGCAACGCCGCGUGCGGGAUGACGGCCUUCGGGUUGUAAACCGCUUUCGCCUGUGACGAAGCGUGAGUGACGGUAAUGGGUAAAGAAGUACCGGCUAACUACGUG